CAGGGAGCACGCGUCUCUCACAUGCUUGUUGAAUAUCUCGCUCUUGUCAGCGUAAACGUGGUGCCCUGCUCCCGAGAUUACCUGGACAAAAAUAUGGAAGGAGUCGACUGAUUAUUCAAACAGCUUUGUCAAUCUCAUUAAUUGAUGAGAUGAGUCAGAUGAGGAGAGCUUACCUGGACGUUUACAUAAGAUGAAGAUCUCGUUUGUUUGAUCGUUUCACCAGCCGAAUUGUCAACCCAAGACCGACUUCCGUAGAGUAAAGUGAUCGGUAUAUCCGGGCUCAUUUUGUCCAUCCGUUUGACUAUGGGAUUUUUAGCCCAUCCAAAUCCCUGCAUCAUCGCGUGAAAAGCACUCUCCCCGCUAAUUCAUCGAAAGUGUUUCACAUCGUGUUAUGCUACGAACGUUAUUACGACCAACGAAUAUUGAUGAAAAGAGAUGUAAAUGUGAGCAACGAAUUCUCCAUCUUCCGCUAAGAGUAACCGUUGCACCCCAGCUUCGUUUACAUUUGUUAUAAUUUUUUUUUUUAUGUGGAGCAUGAAUUUGUUUUUAUUAUUGUCUAUAUCGAAACGAAUUUUUGUUACUUUUUGCAUUUUCAUGCUUUUUUAUUUUAGUUAAUACAAAAAAUCCUAGUGAAAGUGUUUAUAUGGAAAAAAAAACUACUGUCAAACGUCCAGAAACCAAACGAGUCUAAUUUUCAAUAGAAAAUCCGUUACAUUUUACCAUUUCGGUAAGAGUUUGGCGGAAAAAAAUAAAGACAAAGAGAAUCAUCAAA